rnacentral:rRNA from 1 species
AGGACGAACGCUGGCGGCGUGCUUAACACAUGCAAGUCGAGCGGAAAGGCCUUUCGGGGUACUCGAGCGGCGAACGGGUGAGUAACACGUGAGUAAUCUGCCCAUCGCUUCAGGAUAGCCAUCGGAAACGGUGAUUAAUACUGGAUAUGACAUUCCUUCGCAUGUUGGGGUGUGGAAAGUUUUUUCGGCGGUGGAUGUGCUCGCGGCCUAUCAGCUUGUUGGUGGGGUAAUGGCCUACCAAGGCUUUGACGGGUAGCCGGCCUGAGAGGGUGACCGGCCACACUGGGACUGAGCACGGCCCAGACUCCUACGGGAGCAGCAGUCGGGAAUAUGGACAAGUGGGCGAAGCCUGAUCCAGCAACGCCGCGUGGAGGAUGACGGCCUUCGGGUUCGUAAACCUCUUUCAGCGACAGACGAAGUUUUUGCGUUUUUUAGGUAGAAGGUUGACGGUUAU